UACGUAGGUGGCUAGCGUUGUCCGGAUUUACUGGGCGUAAAGAGCGCGCAGGCGGUCGUUCAAGUCGAGUGUGAAAGCCCCCGGCUCAACUGGGGAGGGUCACUCGAUACUGAUCGACUCGAAGGCAGGAGAGGGAAGCGGAAUUCCCGGUGUAGUGGUGAAAUGCGUAGAUAUCGGGAGGAACACCAGUGGCGAAGGCGGCUUUCUGGCCUGUUCUUGACGCUGAGACACGAAAGCGUGGGUAGCAAACAGG
rnacentral:rRNA from 1 species